rnacentral:rRNA from 1 species
AAUAGAUACCCCGGUAGUCCACGCCGUAAACGAUGGAUACUAGCUGUUGGGCGCAAGUUCAGUGGCUAAGCGAAAGUGAUAAGUAUCCCACCUGGGGAGUACGUUCGCAAGAAUGAAACUCAAAGGAAUUGACGGGGGCCCGCACAAGCGGUGGAGCAUGUGGUUUAAUUCGAUGAUACGCGAGGAACCUUACCAAGGCUUAAAUGUAGAUUGACCGGUUUGGAAACAGAUCUUUCGCAAGACAAUUUACAAGGUGCUGCAUGGUUGUCGUCAGCUCGUGCCGUGAGGUGUCAGGUUAAGUCCUAUAACGAGCGCAACCCCUGUUGUUAGUUGCCAGCGAGUCAAGUCGGGAACUCUAACAAGACUGCCAGUGCAAACUGUGAGGAAGGUGGGGAUGACGUCAAAUCAUCACGGCCCUUACGCCUUGGGCUACACACGUGCUACAAUGGCCGGUACAGAGAGCAGCCACUGGGUGACCAGGAGCGAAUCUAUAAAAACCGGUCACAGUUCGGAUCGGAGUCUGCAACUCGACUCCG